AAAACGACUCUCGGCAACGGAUAUCUCGGCUCUCGCAUCGAUGAAGAACGUAGCGAAAUGCGAUACUUGGUGUGAAUUGCAGAAUCCCGUGAACCAUCGAGUCUUUGAACGCAAGUUGCGCCCCAAGCCUUCUGGCCGAGGGCACGUCUGCCCGGUGUCACAA
rnacentral:rRNA from 1 species